CAGUAGCCGCGGGAAUACGUAGGUGGCAAGCGUCGUCCGGAAUUAUUGGGCGUAAAGGGCUCGCAGGCGGUUUCUUAAGUCUGAUGUGAAAGCCCCCGGCUCAACCGGGGAGUGUCAUUGGAAACUGGGAAACUUGAGUGCAGAAGAGGAGAGUGGAAUUCCACGUGUAGCGGUGAAAUGCGUAGAGAUGUGGAGGAACACCAGUGGCGAAGGCGACUCUCUGGUCUGUAACUGACGCUGAGGAGCGAAAGCGUGGGGAGCGAACAGGAUUAGAUACCCGUGUAGUCCCUGUCUCUUAUAC
rnacentral:rRNA from 1 species